AGAAUCAACGCUGGCGGCGUGCCUAACACAUGCAAGUCGAACGAGAAAGUGGGAGCAAUCCCAUUAGUAAAGUGGCGCACGGGUGAGUAACACGUGACUAACCUACCCUUGAGUGGGGGAUAACCUAGGGAAACCUGGGCUAAUACCGCAUAAUACCUACGGGUCAAAGGAGCAAUUCGCUUUAGGAGGGGGUCGCGGCAGAUUAGUUAGUUGGCGGGGUAAUGGCCCACCAAGACAGUGAUCUGUAUCCGGCCUGAGAGGGCGCACGGACACACUGGAACUGAAACACGGUCCAGACUCCUACGGGAGGCAGCAGUGGGAAUUUGCGCAAUGGGGGAAACCCUGACGCAGCAACGCCGCGUGGAGGAUGAAGUCCCUUGGGACGUAAACUCCUUUCGAUCGGGACGAUAAUGACGGUACCGAGAGAAGAAGCCCCGGCUAACUUCGCGCCAGCAGCCGC
rnacentral:rRNA from 1 species